AUAUGUUCUGAUUAUAUCUGU
rnacentral:miRNA from 1 species